ACAGCUGAUGUUGCCAGAUGUUUCACACGCCCAGUUGGUGGAUAUUUACACCAGGUAGCUCUAGAUUUUGCAGACCUGGAAGCUAUCGGCUUGAAAGUGGGGAAAAGCUUAGAUCUGAGCCCCAAACAGAAGCAAAUCAAAUACCUCCAGCAGGUAACAGUUACAAAGUGGUACUUUCAUUCCAGGAAGGACUACUCAGCAAUAUAAACAGUAGCACACCUGUCUCCAAAAGAACUAGCUGUAUUUUGAAAGUUAAUUAUGAAAAGUUAUGUACUAGAUGACCUCCAUACCUGUGGCAUUCUUCAAAUAACAGAACAAUGCAAUAGAAAGUACAAAAUACUGCUAGAAGAAAUUAAAGACUCAAAUAAGUAGAAAUCCUUCAUUUGUGGAUUGGAAGACUUAAUAAUGUUGAGACAGCAAUAGUACUGAAUUAAUUCAAAGAUUUAAUGUAAUCCCUAUCAAAAUUCCAAUGGCGUUAGCUCUCUCUCUCUCUCUCUCUCUCUCUCUCUCUCUCUCUCUCUGUGUGUGUGUGUGUGUGUGUGUGUGUAUUGCUAGGGGUCAAACUAAGGAUCUUCCUUGUGUUAAAUAAGCAAUCUACUUUUGAACUCAUCCCAUCUUAAAAUCCCUAUGCACUCUCCACAUGACCACACGACCAAAGUUGGAAGUUACUCAACUCUUUAUCUCAGAAUUUCUCACAGACACUGAAGGGAUAUAAACAGAAUGGUAUUGGCAUAGAGAAGGUACAUAAACUGAACAGUUAAAGUAAAUUGCCUCUCCCCUACAUCAUACAUAAAACUGACUCAAAAUGAUUGAAAGACUGGCAAUAAGACUAAAAGUCAAACUUUCUAGAAGAAGACACAGGGAGAAAGCUCUUGACACUGGUCUCGUUUUUGCACAUGACACCGGAAGCGUGGGUAAGAAGAAAAACCUGGACAAAUGGGAUGAUUAAAGGCUUCUUCACAGCAAAGACAAUGAUUAAUGAGACGGCAACUUGUGGAAUGAUGAAAACGUGUGCCAACCAUCUUCAGAUGAAGGGUUAAUUCAUGAAAUAUGUAAGAAACUCCCAUACCCGAACACCAAGAGAAAAUAAAACAAACUGUUCUUUAAAAUGUGCAAAGGGCUCAAAUAGAUAUUUCUUCAAAGAAGAUCUACGAGUGGCUAACAGAUGUAGGAAAACACAUUCAACAUCGCUGAUAGUGAAUCUUGAUGGGCAUCAAAACUCCCGUAGGAUGUUGCCUAUCACCUGAUAGGAUGACCGUUAUUGAGAAACGAAGUAAACACGUUGUCAACGACAUGGAGAAGCUAGAAACACGCACCCUGUUAGUUAGUGUGGGAUGGUGCAGGAACUAUGGAAAGUUCCACGGAAACUCUCUGAAAAUUUCAAACUAGAACCACCAUAUUACCCAGCAAUCCCACGUUUGGACAUAGAACCCAAAGAAUUUAACACAGGAUGUCAAGAGACAUGUAUUCCCGUGUCAUUUCGUCACUCCCGGUAGCCAAAAUUAAUGUGGCAUUUAAAUUGUUUCCUUCAUGAGGUAAAAUGAAGGAAAAAAUCUGUAUUUUAAAGGCAGAGGACUAGGUCACUUUUGAUCAAAUGGAAAGAAUCAACCAGGCAAGGACGAUGAGGUCUCAGUACAUGAAGAAAACGAGACGCCAACACGAGGAAGGGUUUCUGAGUAAUGGAGCAGCUCAGCACACGUCCUUCCCAAGGCUUGUCGGUUGCUGAGGUUGUUUUUAUUUUAUCUUCGGUCUCAUGCCUUCAGUGCAAUCAAUUGACUUGCAUUUUCCAUGACAACACCCCCAAGGAAGAAAAGCCCAACAUUCUCUUCAGGAUACGGGCAAAUAAAUGAAUCAGCCUGAAGACAGCAUUGCUCAAGUCCUGAUGUUCCCAUAGAAAACAUUCUCUUAGCAUGACAGAACGUCUAACCAUCCUGAUCAAACGGUAUUCUCUUUGGGUUUUCUUCAUGUUGGGCCAAGGGUCACAGUCUGAAAACAAGAGUGGAGGGCCAGAAGGAGAACUCAAGGCUCCAGCCACGACCUGACUCCUAGUCAAGCCACUUAACCUCUUCCGUUGUCACUGCACUUGGACUAAGGGGGAGAAGCCAGAAUCUGCACUCAAAGCUCUUAUAGAUAGUUUCAAGAACUGUGAUAGGUCUGACGUUUGUCCUUCUUGACAUCUAAACAGGUGGCUUGUCACAAUGUCAUGAAUGCUGACAAGAGGCAGCCAUCCUGGUCAGAGACUAAAGACUUUGUUACAGUAAUCACAUUGCAAUCAACAGAAGUGUGGCAGAGUGGCACCGGUUCCCCUUGCUGUCAGGUUGGAUGGAGCAAUGAAUCACUAUUUGGAAGAGAAACUCUCUAUUCAAGAAUCCUAAAUCUUACCGUGAUGGAUAGCGCGCAUGCUGCCUUUGCUCCGGAAGCAGACAUGUUCUCCCUUUUACCAAGUCAGAUUGCUAUGUGAACACGCUCCGCAGACGGAGGCCAGAACAAAAGUCAAUUGAUGCUUUGUUCCUACAACAUGUGAAAGUGUGGGGGAUCCAUGGAGAAAUGUUGCCUGGCACUUGGCCACCCUUACAGCCAUCUUUGUAGGGUGGCUGUAAGAUGGAAGCUGUGUUUCGAGUGCUUAAAUAGAGAGAGGCGUGCAUUGUAGACACCUGUUGAAUGUUGUGCUAUUGCAUGUGGGGCUCAAGAUCACACCAAAAAAGAGGGAAAAUAGACACAUCUAUAUAGAUGUAUAAAUAGAAAACAUAGACACGUGUAUCUUGCCAGUUCUUACCUUGUAACUGCUAAGCCAGUCCUCAGUCACACUUAGCCUCUAGCCUGACGGUGAGAUCUUCUCAGCCUGCACCCUAAGCCUGACUGAAAUCCCAGAGGAUGGCGAGGUUCCGCCGAGGGAAGAGCAACGGUUUGAAGGCUUCCCCCAGAAGGAGGCUGGCUUCAUUGUGGGCACAAUGACGUGUGCCUAUGUCCGUGUCUCUCCAGGUUUGUCCUUGUAGUGGUUGGAAUGAUGUGCCCACAGUCUCUGACAUUUGAAUACCAGAUCCCCAGUGGGUGGUACUGCUGGGGAAACUUAGAAGGAUGGCUUUGUCGGAAGUAGCAGUGACUGCAGGCAGCCCUUGAGGAUUCAAGGACUCAGCCAUUCCCCGUGUGUUUCCUGCUUGUGGUCUGAGAUGUGAGUCCUCGGCUCCUGUUCCAAGUCUUCCGUUUGCUGCCUUGCUUUCCCGCCAUGGCAGACUCCUAUCCCUCUGGGCUCGUGAGAAGCGCUUUCUUCUAGGAGUCGUCUUGGUCAUGGGGUUUUGUCACAGCAGCAGAACAGCCACCAACACGGAGCCCAAUCAAUCUGCGAACAGUCUCUUCCAGAUCUCCUUCCAUGGAUCAAAUAGAAGAAAAGAAAUAUUGCUGUCCCGUGAACACUUCCAUUUCCUGAGGAGAGACUGUCGUGGAGUUUGGAUCAAGUGUGUUACGGGUGACAAAUGGAAAUGUACUUAUAGGCCAGCAAGGUGUUUUAAAUUUUAAAUAUUUUAAAUGAAAUAUAAAAACAAAUGUUUCAUUCAUUCCAUCUUUAUUUCUUUUUAGCUAUAUUUAGCACUCGUGUGUGUGUUUACACGAAUGUGCGCACACCAUGAUCAGACGGCAGCUUGCACAAGUCUGUUCUUUCUUUCCACCCUCUAUGUCCUCAGGAUUGAACUCACGUCGUCCGGCUCGGUGGCAAGCGCCUCUGCCUGCUGAACCUCUUUCCUCUAAAGCCCUGACCGUGUGCCUGGAUCUCUAUGGAAGAACCCCCUGGGUGAAAAAUGAUGGUCCCGCGUGCCUUUCCAGAAAACGAGUCACUUGGAAUCAACCCCAGCUGAAAGGAAUUACAUAAGAAUAAAAUUCCCAUCCACCUGUUUGUUGCUCAGGCAGCUUUGUGACCAACUGGCUUCGCUGUAUCCUCCAUCGCUGGAUAACGUAUCUGUGAUGGUUUUUAACCACACUCUCCCCCAUUUCCCCAUCAUACCCAACGCUAAGGAGAGAAUAUUCCUUGUCCUUUUUAGUCCUGCGGAAGAGCAGAUUUUACUUAUGUAGAGGAAACUGAUUGGUACGCAGUUAACCCAGCUUGGUGGCUACUUGGCUGGCCUCUGCCCUUUCCAGCUUGGCAAUGACAGCCAGAGACUUUGAACCCAAGACGCUGUCUCACAGGGGUCCUCGGUUCCCAUCUUAUCUGUGGUCGUGGCUCCUUGCAGCUUCUUCCAGUUCAGCCAGAACACCUUUGUCUUCGGAGCUAACCUGUGAAAGUGAUGGAGAUGCAUUUCUUCCUGAGGACCAGGCGCUCCGGUCUGUCCUUCCUCUCAAUGGCUCUGUAGAGGACCCCAUCUUGUGAAUGCAGGGCAGUCAAGAAUUCCAGCAGUGAGAUGCAUCUCUGUCACAUGUCGUCACCACUGCCAAGAUGUCUUGUUUUCCACCAAGGUAGUGACGGCACUGGCCCCUGCUUGAAGGCUAGGGCAGUCUUGGAGUGGGGAGAGCCCCCGUCCAGCAGUUUUCUUCUCGCCCAGGCCAACAGCCUCUGCUUCUUCUCCCUCCCCGUCUCCUGCCUGGACCGUGCUUGGGCACCAGCUAAAGCAGGGCUUUGACAGUUCAAGCUGGCUGCACGGUUUAUUUCAGGAGGCUCUGCCAGCCAAUGGUCGAGGACGGCCCUUUGCUGCUGUGGACAGAAGUAGCAGAGCCGUUCGACAUAGCCAGUGAGGUCUCAUUUUGGCUGGAUUUCUUGUUCAGUGUCGAGGUUCUUGGGUCUUUAAAAAAAAAAAAAAA